CCGCCCACGUGGGGUCUUCCUCCCGCCUGCGCCCCCGAGCUCCAUUGUCGCGUCUGCCCCUUCUCACUCCCCCAGUUUUCCAGUUCCCUAUUCAGAUUUUCCCGUCGUGACAGCUGUUUUCCAUGACCCCUGACAAGAGUAAACCUACGCGUGAAUGCACCGAGCAAGAAGUAACGGUCCCACGAGCUGCCCCAGGUGCUCGGCGCGGCAGCCGCCUGCUCGGUCCCCUGUGUGCACGAAGUCACUGCACAAAGCCCAGCUGCCGUGACUCGGGCGCCAGACACGCCUUUAAAGCUCCUCUGCCAUGCCUUCCCCACCAUGAUGGAUUGAACUCUUUGAAACCUGCUAUAUUUCUGAGGAGAUUCCUGAUUCGAAUUAUAGAAUGUACUGGAAAACCACAGAAGAGAGCAAUGGUUAAAGUCGCCACUGAAAUGGAAGUGAUGUUGAAGUUGAAAUCACUGGUGUGUCCUGCUGGAGUUCAGUGGAACAAGAGGGAUACUCUUCAUACUACUGACCAGGGACACUGUAGGCCCAGGACACAGAAGGUACCUGGAAAAGAGCAACACAAGCAAACUCUGACUCUUUCUCAUGGAAAUGUCUUCCUUGAUUUUUUGACCAUUCAACAUCCCUUCCAAAGAAAAGUUUCAACUUUCUCUUUUCUACUUCUUUCCCCUUGUGUAGCUCUCAAGCAUUGUUUGUGAGGUAUUAUAUUCAACUGGAAUGAACAUCAUGUAAUAAGAGAAAAAAGGUAAUGGGUCACAUAUCUUAAAAAUACACAACAAUUAUUUAGUUGCAAAAGAUAUAGACUAGUUAUUCAGAACCAAUAUCUAGAUUUGGGGUAUCAGCUAAUUGACACAUGAAGCCUUUUUCAAAAAUUCCCCUUUGUAUCAACCUCAUUUAGUGUUUACUGUUCUCAAUUAUGCUAGUGCCUUCAAAGGUCCUUCCCCACAUCUUCCAUACACAGGGACUCCGUCAAUAUGAAAUCUUUAUCUCAUAAACUAGUGAGCACAGGGUGGGGAAUAAAAUACAGUUCUUUUGGUUUUCAGUAUCAGUUACUCUUGUGUCAUUGUGACCAAAAACGCACGUAGAGACAGGUUAAAGGGGGGCUGGUUUGGGCUCAUAGCUGUGAUGGCCUUCCGUCUGCUGUAGUGGGAAAGGCGUGGUGGGGUGGCUUCGUCUGUGGUAGUGGUGAGAGCAAGGCAGCGGCAGCUGUUGACAUUACUGUGGGUCAGGAAGCAUGGGCCAGUGCAUCAUGUGGGGGAGAGAGGGAGAGAGGGAGAGAGGGAGAGAGGGAGAGAGGGAGAGAGGGAGAGAGGGAAAGGGAGAGGGAGAGGGAGAGAGAGAGAGAGAGAACGAACCAGCCAGGAAGAACCUGUUAUUUCCACUGAGUAAAGAAUUCAGCUUUGGGAAAAAUGGCAGCUUGGUUGGCGACUUGAUGGUGGCAGAGACAUUGUGUGUGUGGUUUUACAUUUCAGUGAGAAAUUAAACCCCGUGACCACUCAAAAGCAGCCAGAUCUUCUUUCCUUAAGUUUGGAACGUCUGUAUUUAUUGUCUCAUUGAUUGUUGUUGAGUUUCAUAGGUUGCUUUAACAUCUGCUGUCAAAGUCCCCUUGGAAAGGGAGGAUGAUAGUAGCAUGACACUGAAUUUUAGCUUCCUGUGUCCUCCCCCAUGACUGAACACGGGAAUAUUUUCAACUUUCUCAUGGCUUUUUUAAAAAGCCAAAUGUACCAUUGUAAAAUAAUUUGUUUCUCUGGUGUCACUGGAUACUGAUAGUAUUUGACUGCUGUUUGAACUAAGUUGAAAAUAACAGGUGUCAUUGACUUCUUAGGUCAAAGCAGGAACUAUAACUCAUCAGUUUGGUUUGAUUUUUAGUAAUGAAUUAAAGAACAUGAGUUUUUAUCGUUGAUAGAAGAAUGCAAUUUAACCUAGUACUUUAAAAGAGAUAUUAAAACACUGUUCUUGUUUUUUUUUAAUAUUGAAUCAGUGUCUUGCUGUGUCUCCAGAUGCCUUACCACUCAUGAUAUAGUCCAAGCUGGCCUUAAACUUUCUCAUGGAAAAUUGAACCCAUUGGCCAAAGAAAGGCGACCAGAUUCCGUUUCCUUCGGGCCUUAGCUGGAAGCACAGUCUUCUUGGCACCUUCUCACUAUCUUUGAUUCGGGUGCACAGGUUGGCUUUGAGGGAGACCUGGAACUUCUGGUCAUCUCCUCUCUGCCUUCUGAGCACUGGGGUGACAUGUGUGCCUGGCCACGCUGUUCAUGUGGUGCUGGUGGCCGAACCCAUGGCUUUGUGCGUGCACUCUGCCAACUGAGUGCAGCUUUGCCCGGAGGCUUUAAGUGGCAUUUUAUACAGUGCUUAUUACCUCUUCAGAAGCCAAAACGACCACAUCUUCGCUCAUUCUAAAUGUGCUGCACAUUUAAAGUCUUUUGAAGAGGAGUGUACUGAUGUAUUGGAUCCCUUUAAGGCUGUGGUUUCACUGCGAAGGAUGAUUUUUGGAAAUGAUGGAAGCAUGGGGAUCUAAAUACCUACUUAUUUUACUGUUGGCCCGAUGCAGUUCUGUCUCUUCUUCCCUGAACCGAGCACUUGAACACAAUACGUUUUCAACAUCUACCUGCCCAAGCUCUGGCAUUUUCCCCUGGUGACAGCCAUUUGAGGUUCCAAGGCACUAUUUUUCUCCACCAUGUCCUCUACCCUCUUGCCUCCGGCUAGCUUAUCUGUAUAGCCUUUUAUCUAGGCUUCUGCCAAGCGUGGCUUCAGAAUUCUUAUCUCUCCCCAUUCCUUCUCUGAAGGAAUAACUUUGGUCUUUUACUGAUAAAUAAAUCUCAAAUUCAUAUUUUA